rnacentral:rRNA from 1 species
AUGGAGCCGACCUUGAAAUACCACCCUUUAAUGUUUGAUGUUCUAACGUUGACCCGUAAUCCGGGUUGCGGACAGUGUCUGGUGGGUAGUUUGACUGGGGCGGUCUCCUCCUAAAGAGUAACGGAGGAGCACGAAGGUUGGCUAAUCCUGGUCGGACAUCAGGAGGUUAGUGCAAUGGCAUAAGCCAGCUUGACUGCGAGCGUGACGGCGCGAGCAGGUGCGAAAGCAGGUCAUAGUGAUCCGGUGGUUCUGAAUGGAAGGGCCAUCGCUCAACGGAUAAAAGGUACUCCGGGGAUAACAGGCUGAUACCGCCCAAGAGUUCAUAUCGACGGCGGUGUUUGGCACCUCGAUGUCGGCUCAUCACAUCCUGGGGCUGAAGUAGGUCCCAAGGGUAUGGCUGUUCGCCAUUUAAAGUGGUACGCGAGCUGGGUUUAGAACGUCGUGAGACAGUUCGGUCCCUAUCUGCCGUGGGCGCUGGAGAACUGAGGGGGGCUGCUCCUAGUACGAGAGGACCGGAGUGGACGCAUCACUGGUGUUCGGGUUGUCAUGCCAAUGGUACUGCCCGGUAGCUAAAUGCGGAAGAGAUAAGUGCUGAAAGCAUCUAAGCACGAAACUUGCCCCGAGAUGAGUUCUCCCUGACUCCUUGAGAGUCCUGAAGGAACGUUGA